rnacentral:tRNA from 1 species
GGGCCGUUAGCUCAGUUGGUAGNNCACCUGACUUUUAAUCAGGGUGUCCAGGGUUCGAUCCCCUGACGGCCUACCA